rnacentral:rRNA from 1 species
CGCUCUUUGAUUUUCAUAAAUAAAGAGUCGUGCCUGCCCAGUGAAUUUUUUUAACGGCCGCAGUACCCUGACUGUGCUAAGGUAGCAUAAUCACUUGCUUUUUAAUUGAAAGCUAGAAUGAAUGGCUUGACGAAAACAUGACUGUCUCUUUUACAUUAACUAAAAACUAAUUUUUAGGUGAAGAAGCCUAGAUAAUAUCAAAAGACGAAAAGACCCUAUCGAGCUUAAAAAUAAUUUUAAUUUGAACGCAUAGCUAACUCAAAAUUAAAAAUAAUUUUUUGUUGGGGCGACAAAAGAACACACAAAGCUUCUUUCAAUUUAAUAUACUAAUAAGUUAAAAAGAUCCAGUAAUAUUGAUCAAAAGAAAAGUUACCGUAGGGAUAACAGCGUAAUUUCUUCAGAGAGCUCAAAUUGAAGAAGAAGUUUGCGACCUCGAUGUUGGAUUAAAAACUCCCUUUGGUGCAGCAGCCAAAGUAAUGGAAGGUCUGUUCGACCUUUAAAUUUUU